rnacentral:misc_RNA from 1 species
UCGAACUUUCAAGGGGGAGGGGAAGACCGUCGAGUGGAGACUGUCGCUGGCCUUGUUCCGGGGCAUGUGCACGUCUUUGCUAUUCGUCGACCCUUUUCUCUUGCUACAUUUUACACACCUGUGCACCUAUUGUAGGCCCUCGCAAGAGGAUCUACGUCUUUUUCAUUCACGCCGCAUGUCUAUAGAAUGUAUUGGGAAUUGGGAAAUGUAUAAAUCAUA